AAGUCGAGCGCGAAAGUGACUUCGGUCAUGAGUAGAGCGGCGGACGGGUGAGUAACACGUGGAUAAUCUGCCUUUAGGACUGGGAUAACUCUGGGAAACUAGGGCUAAUACCGGAUAAGACCACAGGUUCCAUGGAACCAGGGGUAAAAGGCGGCCUUCGGGCUGUCACCGAAAGAUGAGUCCGCGUCCCAUCAGGUAGUUGGUGAGGUAACGGCUCACCAAGCCGAAGACGGGUAGCCGACCUUAGCGGGUGAUCGGCCACACGGGGACUGAGACACGGCCCCGACUCCUACGGGAGGCAGCAGUGGGGAAUCUUGGGCAAUGGGCGCAAGCCUGACCCAGCAAUACCGCGUGAGGGAUGAAGGCCUUCGGGUCGUAAACCUCUGUCAGUAGGAACGAUGGGUCUCCGGGCUAAUAUCCCGGAGACUUGACGGUACUUACAAAGGAAGCCCCGGCUAACUCCGUGCCAGCAGCCGCGGUAAUACGGAGGGGGCGAGCGUUGCUCGGAAUUACUGGGCGUAAAGGGUCCGCAGGUGGCCUCGUAAGUUAGAUGUGAAAUCUUAGGGCUUAACCCUGAAACUGCAUCUAAUACUGCAAGGCUUGAGUCCGGGAGAGGUUGGCGGAAUUCCAGGUGUAGCGGUGAAAUGC
rnacentral:rRNA from 1 species